GGGGAGGCCAGCCUCAGCUGUCUGAAGGAUGGAGGGGCUGGGGAAGCAGGGCUAGGUGCCCAGACGGCCGCGUGUGUGGGAGGGGAUGUCCUCAGAUGCCCUCCACCCGGCAGUCCCCGCUCUGACGUGGGUGCCCCCCCUCUCCCCGCCCGGAUUAGUGGCAGCUUGGCCUGACUCUCCGGGGCUCCUUCCCCCGCCCCCGCCUGCUGCCCUCCCCUGGGCAGGGGGCUGCUCCGCCCGAGGGGCACUUGUGCUUGCCCAGGGUGCUGGAGGAGGAAACCGGCGGAGCAGCUUCCCCACUCUCAGUUGCGCGUCUGGCGAUGGCGAUCAGAGGUCCUGCUGCGCUCUCCGCCGGGCUCUCCCUCCAUUAGCCGCGCUGCGCCGUGUUGCGCCCCCGCUGGUGCCUCUCUCCCGGGUCGCGGGAUCGGCCCCUCUUCCAGGCACGACCCCUUCCCCCCGGCCCCUCGGCCUUUCCCCCAUCUCGGUCAUCUCCGACCCGGGGCGCGAGUUCCCCCCGGCCCGGCUCCCUCUCUCCCUCCGGGGGCACCCGCUCCCUAGCCCCGGCCCGGUCCUCCCCGCGGCGCAGCACGGAGUCUCGGCGUCCCAUGGCGCAACCCACGGCCUCGGCCCAGAAGCUGGUGCGGCCGAUCCGCGCCGUGUGCCGCAUCCUGCAGAUCCCGGAGUCCGACCCCUCCAACCUGCGGCCCUAGAGCGCCCCCGCCACCCCGGGGGAAAGAGAGCGCGAGCGCGCUGAGCCGACGGCGGAGAACGAGUUCUUGCCAGCCAGCCGGGAGGCCCCGGAGUCAGCCCAUGGGGAGAGGGCGCCCGGCGUCGGCCACCACGACCGUCGCCGCCCGCGCCACGCCCGGCCAGUGAAGCCCAGGGACCCCCUCUGGGAGAGCCCCAUGAGGGCAGGAGAGUGAUGGAGAGUACGCCCAUCUUCCUGAAGGAGACCCCAGCCUGGGAGAAGAGAGCCCCUGUGAACGGCAUCGUGGGCCCGGAGCCGGAUACCCCACCACGAGAUGGCCUGCGCCCUGCGGCGCUGUGCCUGGGAGAGCCUGCUCCUUUCUGGAGGGGGUUCCUAAGCACCCCAGGAUCCUGUCUCCCCCCUGGCUUCCCCCCAAGCCCCAAGGACACACUCCCACUGCUGGAAGGCGAAGGCCCCCGGAAUGGGGAGAGGAAGGCUAGCUGGCUGGGCAACAAGGAGGAGCUGCGCUGGAAGGAGGCCAUGCUUACCCAUCCACUGGCUUUCUGCGGGUCAGCGUGCCCGCCUCGCUACAGCCCCUUGAUGCCCGAGCAUAACAGUGGCCAUGCCAAGAGUGACCCUGUGGCCUUCCGGCCCUUGCACUGCCCCUUCCUUCUGGAGACCAAGAUCCUAGAGCGAGCUCCCUUCUGGGUGCCCACCUGCUUGCCACCCUACCUAGUGUCCAGCCUGCCCCCAGAGCGUCCAUGUGACUGGCCCCUGACCCCACACUCCUGGGUAUACUCUGGGGGCCAGCCCAAAGUGCCCUC
rnacentral:lncRNA from 1 species